AAGAGACCUUUAAGACAGCUGGUCAUUAUGCCGACCGGGUGUCCGCGCUAAGUUCGGUAUCAAUAUGGUGACCUCCUGGGAGCAGGAGGCCAUCAGGUUGCCUAAGGAUGGGAGAACUGGCCCAGGUCAGAAAGGGACCAGGUCAGGACUCCGGCACCAAUCGGUAGUGGGACUGUGCCUGGGCAAUAUAGCAAGAUCUUGGUUCUU
rnacentral:sRNA from 1 species